CCUAUGGAGUGUUAUAUCAAACGAAAGUAGCCAAGAUCAUGGUCAAAUCGGAUACGUCGAAAUAGGAA
rnacentral:sRNA from 12 species